UACGUAGGGGGCGAGCGUUGUCCGGAUUUAUUGGGCGUAAAGAGCUCGUAGGCGGCUUGGCAAGUCGGGUGUGAAACCUCCAGGCUUAACCUGGAGACGCCACUCGAUACUGCCAUGGCUAGAGUCCGGUAGGGGACCACGGAAUUCCUGGUGUAGCGGUGAAAUGCGCAGAUAUCAGGAGGAACACCGGUGGCGAAGGCGGUGGUCUGGGCCGGUACUGACGCUGAGGAGCGAAAGCGUGGGGAGCGAACAGG
rnacentral:misc_RNA from 1 species